GACAUGUAUGGAAGUUCCAGAGAUGGAUUCGUGCUCGAAAGAGAGUCCAUAACACAGGUGCUGCAUGGCUGUCGUCAGCUCGUGUCGUGAGAUGUUGGGUUAAGUCCCGCAACGAGCGCAACCCUUGUCAUUAGUUGCUACAUUCAGUUGGGCACGUCUAAGUGAGACUGCCGGUGACAAACCGGAGGAAGGUGGGGAUGACGUCAAGUCCUCAUGGCCCUUAUAGGUGGGGCUACACACGUCAUACAAUGGCCGGGUACAAAGGGUCGCAAACCCGCGAGGGGGAGCCAAUCCAUCAAAGCCGGUCGUAGUCCGGAUCGCAGUCUGCAACUCGACUGCGUGAAGUCGGAAUCGCUAGUAAUCGUGGAUCAGCAUGUCACGGUGAAUACGUUCCCGGGUCCUU
rnacentral:rRNA from 1 species